CAGCAGCCACGGUAAUACAGAGGGCGCGAGCGUUACCCGGAUUUACUGGGCGUAAAGGGCGUGUAGGCGGCCUGGGGCGUCCCAUGUGAAAGGCCACGGCUCAACCGUGGAGGAGCGUGGGAUACGCUCAGGCUAGAGGGUGGGAGAGGGUGGUGGAAUUCCCGGAGUAGCGGUGAAAUGCGCAGAUACCGGGAGGAACGCCGAUGGCGAAGGCAGCCACCUGGUCCACUUCUGACGCUGAGGCGCGGAAGCGUGGGGAGCAAACCGGAUUAGAUACCCCAGUAGUCCCUGUCUCUUAUAC
rnacentral:rRNA from 1 species